rnacentral:rRNA from 1 species
UACGUAGGGAGCGAGCGUUGUCCGGAAUUACUGGGUGUAAAGGGAGCGUAGGCGGGAUCGCAAGUCAGAUGUGAAAAUUAUGGGCUUAACCCAUAAACUGCAUUUGAAACUGUGGUUCUUGAGUGAAGUAGAGGUAAGCGGAAUUCCUAGUGUAGCGGUGAAAUGCGUAGAUAUUAGGAGGAACAUCAGUGGCGAAGGCGGCUUACUGGGCUUUAACUGACGCUGAGGCUCGAAAGCGUGGGGAGCAAACAGG